GAAACAUCGCUGCGUCUAAAUUUGGUUUCGGAAAGUUGAAUUGAUUGUGUUGGAAAUUUGGUUUCGGCCCGCAGCACUGAUCGAAGGGCGAAGAGUGCCCUCACGAUUUGGUCAAGGGUGGAUCAAUCGUGAGGUAAAUCUUUGAGUUGUAUAUCCGAGAAUACAACUACAAGUCAAAUACCAACAGACCGUUGCCUAGGAAGAAUAGUGGCAACGAGUUAUUGAAACAGCGGAAUAAAGCAUUUCCACGGUAACCAAUAUAUGUAGAACACGUGAAAACGAACCCUGCGAGAAGGUGCUCUCUAUUGAGUCCGAAACCACCCUAUAAGAAGCCUUCGAAGAGUACAGUUGAGAUCCAGCCACGACCAAGGCCAGUUGAGAGGUCGCAGCCGCAGAAGGCGUAUUGAAGUAGAGGUAGUAGUUGUGAUACUGCAAGUGAUGAUAAUUGUAGAGUGUGUGAGUGUAGAAGCGAAGAACAAUAAAUGUUGGCUACACCCUU